rnacentral:rRNA from 1 species
GAAUGUAUACCAGCACUAAAGCACUGGAUCCCAUCAGAACUCCGAAGUUAAGUGUGUUUGGGCGAGAGUAGUACUAGGAUGGAUGACCUCCUGGGAAGAAUUGGAUGUAACAUUUU